GUCCCGCACUGAGAACUUCAUCUGGACGUGGAUGCGCUGAGCGCCGCGGCGCUGGAUGAACCGGGUCCGGAUCCAGUUGUUCUGGCUGUUGUUAAAAACAUUGCAGACCUGGUGGUCCAGCCGAGUUCUGCUGUUGCUGUCGUUGAAUCCAUCAGAACUUCUGCAGGAAAGACAAAAGGAGGAAAGGAUUGAGAAAGAAUUCAACUUUUUUUGUCCUUUCACUGUUUCAUUGGAUGGAAAAAAAACUAAAAAUAUGAACACGACCUUUAAUAUUGAUCACAUAAUUAAGAAGCAUUUCCCAACGUCUGAUGUCUGUUAUUAUUGUGUAGUUUUUACAAACUGCAAUUAAAAAUGUAAUAAUGAUUUCAUGUGAAGUUGCAUACAGUUGUAAUAAAAUCCACUAUGAACAUC